AAACAAGAAGGUAUAUAAAGAUUAAACAUAAUCCCUGAAAUUUCAAGUUAAUUCACUAUCUCUCAUACUGUGGAUUCAUUUAUUUUCGUGGGUACCAAUUUUCGUUGAUGAUGGACAAUUCGUGGACUUUUAAUUUCGUGGUUUAGCCGAAUCUUGCAUACAAGCCUUUAGAAAAAUGUUCAUUCGUUGAACAUUUAAUAUCAUGGUUCACCUGUACACACGGUAUCCACGAAAUUUGAUAUCCAAUGCAUAAUAAUGAAUCCACGUUUCUACAAAUUCUCUAUGACAUAUACGAGAAAAUUACAAUUUAAUAAAAAUAAGAAAAAAAA
rnacentral:lncRNA from 1 species